ensembl:lncRNA
GGGACAAGAGGGGAAGAGCUGACCCCCAGCUGCAAUGUUUUCAUGCAACUUUCUCUUCUUUCCUUCUCAAAUGGAUUUUCUGCCUGUCAGAAUAACCCCAAAAGGCUCCAUAGGAGUAGCUCGUGGAGCCCCAGACCCCACGUCCCUGGGAGUGUGAAACCAGAGAAACCUGAAUUCUGGUAGGUGCUCAGAUCCUGGCCAUGGUUAUCGAGGAGAAAGAGAUGGGGGUGCUGAGGUGAAGGAGAGACCUCUCUGCAUGAAAAAUAUGGCGUUAAAUAGGAGAUGAGGUGUUGUCAUCACGGGAGAUUAACUGCAGCAGUGCCACACAGGCAUAUUUAAAGAUACGUAUAUGCAAGGAUAUCUCUUUUCCUUUUUCUCUCUUAAUUACAGGAAAACUGUUGAGAGCAGAGGUAAAAGCUGCUACAGAGAGGCGUGCCCUGGAACAGGAAAAUCUGCAGGAAAGGCAGUGGAGGGAACAUUUGGCUCGGGUCCAUUGCAACAAUUAGUGAUAAAUCACUGCUGGGAGCUCGGGUCGCCCGCUGGAAGGCUCCCAGCAGCCAACCAGCAGCAGGGCGGGAGGACACGCCGCACCGUCACGCCUCGUGCUGUCCCCGUUUCCAGUGAUGGGGGAAGCAGGGCUCCGUGUUAGUUCUGCAUAUACGGUGUCGGGGUGAAACAACGUUCCCUUCUGGCAGCACAGAAUCAGCACGCAUCCCAAAUUUCCCUUCUUCCGCUGCACGUGCUGCCCCCAUGGAAAUCAGUGCAAGCCUCACGCAGGCAUACGAGGGCAGG